rnacentral:rRNA from 1 species
CAGCAGCCGCGGUAAUACCAGCCCCCCGAGUGGUGGGGAUGUUUAUUUGGCCUAAAACGUCCGUAGCCAGCUCGGUAAAUCUCUCGUUAAAUCCAGCGUCCUAAGCGUUGGGCUGCGAGGGAGACUGCCAAGCUAGAGGGUGGGAGAGGUCAGCGGUAUUUCUGGGGUAGGGGCGAAAUCCAUUGAUCCCAGGAGGACCACCAGUGGCGAAGGCUGCUGACUAGAACACGCCUGACGGUGAGGGACGAAAGCUGGGGGAGCAAACCGGAUUAGAUACCCGGGUAGUCCCAGCUGUAAACGAUGCAAACUCGGUGAUGCCCUGGCUUGUGGCCAGUGCAGUGCCGCAGGGAAGCCGUUAAGUUUGCCGCCUGGGAAGUACGUACGCAAGUAUGAAACUUAAAGGAAUUGGCGGGGGAGCACCACAAGGGGUGAAGCCUGCGGUUCAAUUGGAGUCAACGCCAGAAAUCUUACCCGAAGAGACAGCAGAAUGAAGGUCAAGCUGGAGACUUUACCAGACAAGCUGAGAAGUGGUGCAUGGCCGUCGCCAGCUCGUGCCGUGAGAUGUCCUGUUAAGUCAGGUAACCAGCGAGAUCCCUGCCUCUAGUUGCCACCAUUACUCUCCGGAGUAGUGGGGCGAAUUAGCGGGACCGCCGUAGUUAAUACGGAGGAAGGAAGGGGCCACGGCAGGUCAGUAUGCCCUGAAACUUUGGGGCCACACGCGGGCUGCAAUGGUAACGACAAUGGGUUCCGAAACCGAAAGGUGGAGGUAAUCCUCAAACGUUACCACAGUUAUGAUUGAGGGCUGCAACUCGCCCUCAUGAAUAUGGAAUCCCUAGUAACUGCGUGUCAUUAUCGCGCGGUGAAUACGUCCCUGCUCCUUGCACACACUGCCCGUCGAACCACCCGAAUGAGGUUUGGGUGAGGAAUGGUCGAAUGUUGGCCGUUUCGAACCUGGGCUUCGUAAGGAGGGUUAAGUCGUAACAAGGUAACCGUA